CUAGGCGAUUGGGUUAUUCGUCAGAAAAUGAUAUUUCUUAAAGCAAACACAUUGUUCCCUGUGUUCUGGGACGACAACCAGGCAAUGACAGGUAUAAGACUGCUUUAAAAACUGGGAGACAAAAAGCCUAAACGUAGCACAGAACGCAACUCCUCCGGUCCUCUCCUGUUGCUGGGCAGUGAACCAAACAAACCGCGCAGCCUGAGCCUGAGUGUACCUUUAAGACCUGGAGGGGAAACGGCCGGUCCAAGGAGAACGGUUGCAGCCUCAUUUGCAUAAGCACCCAAACACUGCUGACGUCACCGCGCCGAGUGCGGACCCCGCCUCGUCCUACUCCACUGUUUCUCCCCGAGGUGAGAGAAUGGAUCCGGGAGAACUCAGCGCCAGAGAGCGCGAGCCCGGGUUCCGCGCUCGCUGUGAACGCGCCACGCACGCCGCUUCUCUGCUCAACGGAAAGAGAUUCCCGCCGCUGCGGCCUCUUGAGAGCGGUAGGAAUAUGACUACCCCAUAGGAUUGGUGUGAGAGGAAGAGGCAGAACACAAAUGGGGACGAGCAGAACAUGGAAGAUUUCAACCUACAGUGGUCACGAAUGGAUGUGAGAGUUGGACUGUGAAGAAAGCUGAGUGCUGAAGAAUUGAUACUUUGAACUGUGGUGUUGGAGAAGACUCUUGAGAAUCCCUUGGACUGCAAGGAGAUCCAACCAGUCCA
ensembl:lncRNA